rnacentral:rRNA from 1 species
GACGAACCGAGCGAACGUUGUUCGGAAUCACUGGGCUUAAAGGGCGCGUAGGCGGGUAUUCAAGUCCGUGGUGAAAUCCUCCGGCUCAACCGGAGAACUGCCUCGGAUACUGGAUGUCUCGAGGGUGGCAGGGGUAUGCGGAACUAUCGGUGGAGCGGUGAAAUGCGUUGAUAUCGAUAGGAACUCCGGUGGCGAGGGCGGCAUACUGGUCCACUUCUGACGCUGAGGCGCGAAAGCCAGGGGAGCAAACGGG